GUCCGGGUCCUGAACGCAAACGCGAAGAUGUCACCGACCUGGGGUCGGGGUCGGCGCCGGCGUCGUGAAGGCAACGGGCCUCACCAGCUCAGUGACCAGAGGGACGGUGAAGACGUUGGUGCUCUUGCUUCUCAGCUUCACCAAUCCACGACCAGCUGGCGGUGAGGAGGGAGGUUGCCGUGAGCGACGCACGUAAACGACAACACUGGCUCAAAAGCGUUUGUCACCUGACUUUGACGUACGACGGCGUCGUGCUGGAAAAGCUGCUUCACCACCAUCUUCUCGCUUUCGCUGGGAAUCUGUGCACAGAAUUCAACCAUUUGAACCCACCUAAAAGAAAUUCCCGUGGAAAUUUUCCACCCAGUGGCAAGCCUAACAUCAAGGCCAGUUGGACGCGAUCCCUAAAAAAAAAAAAGAGACAGGGACGAGGUGGUCGCAUCGAGUCCCGCGCGAGGCGGGAAGCGGCGGUCUGUCCACCUGUAGAGUGAGGAGACGAGCCGCCAGGAGUUUGUCUCCUGCUGCA